rnacentral:rRNA from 1 species
CCUACGGGAGGCAGCAGUGAGGAAUAUUGGUCAAUGGGCGAGAGCCUGAACCAGCCAAGUAGCGUGAAGGAUGACUGCUCUAUGGGUUGUAAACUUCUUUUAUAAAGGAAUAAAACGAGGCACGUGUGCCUUUUUGCAUGUACUUUAUGAAUAAGGAUCGGCUAACUCCGUGCCAGCAGCCGCGGUAAUACGUAGGGUUCGAGCGUUAUCCGGAUUUACUGGGUGUAAAGGGAGCGUAGACGGCAGUGCAAGUCUGGAGUGAAAGGCUGGGGCGCAACCCCAGAAUGGCUGUGGAGACUGUGAAGCUUGAGUGCAGUAGAGGUAAGCGGAAUUCCUGGUGUAGCGGUGAAAUGCGUAGAUAUCAGGAAGAACACCAGCGGCGAAGGCAGCUUACUGGACUGUAACUGACGUUGAGGCUCGAAGGCGUGGGGAGCAAACAGGAUUAGAUACCCCGGUAGUC